rnacentral:rRNA from 1 species
UGUUGGAAGUGGAACAGAAGCGAUCACACCUUUAGCCGUUGGAUCGACAAACGAAGUGCUUUUGGGUAACACAACCGCGGAUCCAAGUUGGGGAACUGUAGGUAACGCGGCACUUACGAACUCAAGUAUUACCCUUUCUAACGGUAAUAACAUCACGGUUACGGGUUCACCUGUCUCUUUAGGGGGGACAGCUUCGUUUAAUCUUACGGGAACAACUCAAUAUUGCGUUCAGGU